AUACGGAGGGUGCAAGCGUUAAUCGGAAUUACUGGGCGUAAAGCGCGCGCAGGCGGACCGAUCAGUCCGGGGUGAAAUCUCACGGCUCAACUGUGAGCAGCCCUCGGAUACUGUCGGCCUAGAGGUGCCUAGAGGAGAGUGGAAUUCCGGGUGUAGUGGUGGAAUGCGUAGAUAUCGGGAGGAACACCAGUGGCGAAAGCGGCUUACUGGGCUGUGCCUGACGCUGAGGCUCGAGAGCGCGGGGAGCAAACUGGAUUAGAAACCCCAGUAGUCC
rnacentral:rRNA from 1 species